GGGUUGUGAUUUUUGGUAUCAUGAGAGAAGAUCUAAUAAGGGUUGUUAGCUAUAGCUGAUGAGUUAUAAUAUUAUCUCUUGCUUAAUUCGAAUGCGAUCCGAAUUAGAGAUAAGAUGUAGACUAUGAAAGAGAUUUUUUGUAUAUGGUAUAUUGUUAGAGCUAUAUUAUUUUUUUGCUUAUUUUUCUUAAGGAAUUCUUUAGG
rnacentral:lncRNA from 1 species